GAGGGGAUGUGUGUGGAGUGAUUCCGGGGUUUGUUUUGUUUUUCGGCAGGGUCAUCUGGCUGCUUCUGGCCCCGGUUCACCUCCGUUCUCCUGCGCCCUGUCCUGCCCCCAGCCCGGAUUUGUUCAGAUUUCAUCGGAGAGGCUUGGACCUUCUGUGAAGGAACCUUUGGGGGGAGUCCUGGUCGGAACCAGCCGCUGACAGCAGCCCAGCAGCAGCCUUUGCCAGCCAACACAGAGCAACUGCAGGCUCUGCUCCUCCAGUGAUCCAACAGCACCUCCCGAUCGUGGUUAGAAUUGCACCAAAAGGCGGAAAGUACUGAACAGUUUGUGGGGUUUUUUUUGUAGGGAACUUUGGCUGCAGAAUUAUUUAGAUGUUUUUGUGUUCUUUUGUUGUUCUGCCAAUACACAAUGAGGGCUGUUUUCUUUUCUUUCUCCAUACUUCCUCAGCUGGAGACUUAAUUUCGGAUUUACAAUUACUUGGAGGGAGGAGCUUGGUCUUCCUCAUAACUCAUCCUCCUUAGCAAAACACUUCAGUCUCAUUAAACUGAGACACCGGAGCACCCCCAGCACCACGGGGUGAGCCCCUCUCAGCUCUGCAUUGCCCAGGGCACAGCAGAAGGAGCCUGUGCUGGGCCUGGUACCUGAGAAUGGCACAACUAUCCCACCGCUCUGGGCUGGGGCUGCUGGCAGCAGGUGCCUGCAGGUUGUGGUGAUGAGGGAGAAAACAUGGCUUUGAACACAAAAGGUACUCUUAUAGCUAAAACCAUGACAGCUUGACACAGACCGGCCAAGACUCCCCCCACCUUGUCGAUGGGCAAAAGUACGGGAGUGGAGGAGGGACCAGAAGCAGCCAGAUGACCUGGCCGAAAACAAAACAAACUCAGAACCUUUCUACACACACACACACUCACUGAGUCAGGGCAAAAGUGGAGUGCCUACUGUUCUGGAUAUUCCCUCCAUUCUGUAUUUUUGACAAAUACUUCCCUGAACUGACUCUAUAUUAAUUCCUUUUUCCUACUUGUCAUGCCCAGUUUCUUUCUUCUCCACUCUGAUGUCACCUUCCAACACCUUGCUCACAUUAGCCUUUUUCUGUGAUGUUAAAACACCUCUUAGCACCCUGUGAUCAGCUUACUCAGAAGCUGUUCCCCACUUGUUUGGAGAUUUUUUUAAUUGCCUUCCUAAAGGAUGCCCACCAAUUCCAGCCACCUCUUGAACUCUGUGGCCAGAUUCUGGGGGCCACAAGCCUCUUUUGGAGCGGUUGAAGCUUUUAGCAUGGUCCCCAGGUCACUGCCAGCCUUUCCCCACUGCAGUCAUUGCUUGCUAUUCCUUGCUGACAAACUUCCUCUGCUUCCUGCAGUUCCCCUUUGAGGAUGUUAACCAGACUGAAGGUUGGAUUUCUGAUGGAUUUCUCUGUCUCUCUCCCAUCAGCCUUAGAGUGCAUUGCUGUCACUGCCCUAGAGGGACUCUUCAGUGACAACAGUGGGGUGCAGGUGUCACAGGCAGCACAGGCCUAAGCUGAAGAUGCUUUUCCAGACAGGUCUGGAGCCAGCAGCAGCCAGGGAGCAGCUAUGUGCCUGGGAACCCUGGUGUACCCUCUUUGGUUUCCUUCAGUUUUGUCUCUGAUACAGCUGCUUCCACAUAUGAACUCUGGCACCUUGGUUCCAGCAUCAUGUUUUAGAGAAGCACAAGUAUCUGCUCUUGCUCUGGCUCCUUAUUUUUAUGUGCCUCGUUAAAGCAGUUCUUCACUGCUUCCCACGCAAAUGUUGUCACCUCCCGUCCUAGUCUCUAGUGAAGAUUCAGGGGUUUUAUGAUUCCAGCUCACAGAUGAAUCAUCUUAUCUUUAGCCCCACUGCUUGGUAGUUACCUCCAGCACCUCUCUCCUACCUCUGUCGUAUAGGUACCUCUGUGGUGUCUGACUCCCUGGGCACUCCGUGGACAGAGACCCCUUGCAGCCUGCAAGAGAUUGCUCUGAUAGCAAGUGAGAACUGGUGCUUCUGCAUCCAUUAGGAAAGAACUAUUUUUUUUCGGCGUCGGCUUGCAUUCUUGUGCCUCACAGUGCUCUCCACUGAGGCAGAGUUGCAAGGUUUCAUUUUUGGAGGCACGUUGUUUAGGCUGCUUUGUUUCCCUGCUCUUUCAGCCCUCCUGGGGAUCGCUGUUUAUUCUGGUGCUAGGAGAAUGAUCCCACAGCCAAACCCUUUACCUUGUUGCACCUCUGUAACCCAGAGCUCUGCUCCCUUCACACAGGCCCUCCACCUGCCUGCAUCAGCUAGUCCACACUCAACAUAGGACACAUGAGCUAAGCCUUGAUGCUGGUCCAGUGUCUCCAUUUGCCAUGGACACUGUAGAUGGGAUUCAUAUGUUCUUGGUGCCACCCGAGAUGCCCCAGGGCAUCAGAUACAACAGGAACCUGUGGCUACCCUGUCAGGAACUGAUGCAAGGUGAGCUGCAUUUCCCCUGACACUCUGUCACUUGCACUUGUCCUCGGUCUGAGGUCUAUGCCUGGUUUUGUUCUUAGCCCAUCUCCAGAGAUCCAAGAGCCUCCCCAUCUUCCAAAAAUACAUAUAUUUACAAUGAGCACUUUAAAGCCAGAAAUACACUGCAAAACCUUCCCUGUGUAGCUAAGACCAUAAUCACUUAGAAGCAAGUUCGGUGUUAAAUGCAAUAAACUGCUUAAGGCUGAUAGAAGAGCAUUUGUAGAGAGGUAUGUCCGCCAGGGUAAGGGAAACCUUUCGCCUUCCCUGGCUUGGUUUAUCUGCACACAAGCACCUGGCUGUGCCAAGCCCAGCUGUACCAGAGCCCUGAGGAGCUGGAGCUCCCACGACCCUGCAGCCCAGCAAGGCGGGGUGCCAGGUCACGGAGGUGUGUGGGUUCCCCUGCUUCCUCCACCA